UCAAUUUCUGCGGCAGGCUGGAGGAGAGAAAUAAAAAAAGGGCAGCCAUUAUCAUUAUAUAUUCUUACACACACAAAUAGACGGCAGCUUGGUAGGCAGAAUUGAGGAGACUCCAGCUGGGAUUACAAUUAAUUGGAGGCAGCAACUUUGAGAAGAAUAAUUACAUGCCUGCUGGGUGUUGAAAUUAAUAUGAAAACACACAGAAAUUCAACCGAUUGUUUGAGGAAUUAAUUGGCAGUAGCUUGGGUUCUCUCCAAAGUCAAUUAUUGCAGCUGUUAAGAGAUUGAAUUGGUAGCAGCAAGGCAAUGGACGACUGGAUAGAAAAACGAUGGUUCCUAUAAACAACGGGAGAGGCUGUGAGCAACGUCUCUGCGAUGAAAAAAUGAUUGGAGAGGCUGAUGACGUGGGAGUAGAGGUGCAACUCUGUAAUACAACUUCCAGAAAGUCUUUCAUCUGUUCGUUUGCCUCAGAUCCAAUUUUUACUCUCUCAAUGAUGUGAAUGAGUUAACAUUGCUGUUAAUCUCUCUGUGAUAAUGAAGACAUCAACCAGUGGCAAGGUGACUAAAAACUGCAGCUUAUAAUCUUAUCCUUCAGGAAUGUUUGGUACGAAAUUGUUCUCCUGUCCACAUUCUGUCCACUGUGGACAAAAUAAGACUGUUCACUUGCUGAUGUGGCAGAACAACCUUACUUACGGUUCUAUUCUUAUUUACAGUUCUGUCCAAAUAUGAAAACCGUACUUACAGUUCUCUCAUAGUGGACAGAAUAAAACUUCUCACUAUGGGCAAAAAACCAUUUCUUAUGUUGGGUAUAUAGUAUUGGUCAUGAUCGAAAGUAAUGCUACAGGGUCCACCUUAACAAACAAGCCUAAUGUCUUUAUUGGAAGUUAUACCCUUUUUUCCUAAAUAUUAAAGAGCAUUAAAUUUCCUAUUUAUUUUAUGAGAUAAUCCAUUUUUAUCAA